AGGUCAUGAUGAGGUCAAUUUCUUAAUAAACCUUUAUAGCGUUCCCAUGCCUCGGAUAGUGACACCCCUGGUUGUUGCUCAGAAUUGGCUAUCGCCUUCUUGAGUUU